rnacentral:rRNA from 1 species
UGUGAGAGCAAGAGCCCGGAGAUGGAUUCUGAGACACGAAUCCAGGCCCUACGGGGUGCAGCAGGCGCGAAAACUUUACAAUGCCGGCAACGGCGAUAAGGGGACCUCGAGUGCCAGGUUACAAAUCUGGCUGUCGUGAUGCCUAAAAAGCAUUGCAUAGCAAGGGCCGGGCAAGACCGGUGCCAGCCGCCGCGGUAACACCGGCGGCUCGAGUGGUAACCGUUAUUAUUGGGUCUAAAGGGUCUGUAGCCGGCCGGAUAAGUCUCUUGAGAAAUCCAGCAGCUCAACUGUUGGGCUUUCAGGAGAUACUGUUCGGCUCGAGGCCGGGAGAGGUGAGAGGUACUUCAGGGGUAGGGGUGAAAUCUUGUAAUCCUUGAAGGACCACCAGUGGCGAAGGCGUCUCACCAGAACGGACCUGACGGCAAGGGACGAAAGCUAGGGGCACGAACCGGAUUAGAUACCCGGGUAGUCCUAGCCGUAAACGAUACUCGCUAGGUGUCGGCCACGGUGCGACCGUUGUCGGUGCCGUAAGGAAGCCGUGAAGCGAGC